UUGUGUUCGCAUAACAAGACGCUAUGAGGCUUAUUAUUUUUCCUCUGUAUUUGAUUUCAUUAAGCAGGGACUUGAAUGUCUUCAUUAUCUCCAUGUUUGUCAUAACUGGAAGACAGGCAGGUGAACUAAAUAGCUGAGGUCCACUCAGGCAGUGAUUGGUGGCAUCAUCGUGAUAUACUUGUUAAUGCCUCAGCCUCUAGGCCUCACUAAAUUGAACAUCUAAUGGUUCUCCUAACCUCCAAUGCACUUUAUUAAACUUUGAUUACAUUCUGUUUGUAUGGCAGGAAAAAGACCAAGAAGACACCUCCACAAAAUGGCAUCCAAGGAGGAGAAGAGACUGUCAAAGAUGCUGUUUAUGAAGAUGUCUCCGCAUCCAAAGCUCAACCAGCACAGCAGAAAGAGGAAGAGGAAGAUGAGCAAGGCUUGAAUUACGCCUCUGUGCGGUUCAAGGCUAAGCCUGACAAAACAAUUCAAACAAAAGGUAAAGAAAAGAAGGCCAAAGAAGAAGACAACAUGAGUGAGAUCAUCUAUGCCACAGUGAUUACCAAGUCAUAAGGUGUGUGUCAGCGUGAAGUUUGAAAACUGAAUCGGAUUUGGGGUUGUUGUGAAGUGACAGCCUUUGGACGCCAGCACAGUUGUCAUCACAUUUUAGAAGCCAGGCGUCAUUUUCCUCGGUGCUACAACAAAGAUUAAAUAAGGUCGUAUAGCACCUUGCAUUUCCUCUUACACACGUAAAACCUAAAUAGAACUUGAAGAAAAAAGGAAAACAUAUAGAUUAUAUUAAUUGGCCUAUUUUUUCAAUUAAAUGGGACCAAAAGGUCUGCAUGUGGACAGUAACUCUAAAAGUCAGGACUUGAUGAGCUCCCUUAAAAAAGGAGGAAUAGUCGAGGUUUUUACCAUUGAUUGUGACCGAGUGUUCACUUUUCUUCUCCAAAAUUGUGUUUUUCCUUGAAAAUUUCAAACGAGGUCUCCUGUUCACGUAAACUAAACAUGCCAUUCUUGGAAGCCGUGGACUGCACUGCACACGACUUCUUCUGGGCUCAAUCUGCUCUCCAGUUCAGCUAAGAGGAGCUGCUCAAUGCACUCAACUGCCUCAAAGUUGUAUAAAAAUGGAGCAAACAGCAGACAGCAACUUACUUUCCCUAACAGUAAUGGAGGAUCACCUACAGUGUUAACUUCACUGCUUGCUCUCCACUCAUCGUCAGGGCAUUGUGCAGACGUUCUUCACUAAUAUGACCAGCACAGGGUGCAGAUUUCAUGAGAAUGUGAUCUUUUACGAUUGAAGCCAGACGACAACUGGAGUAUCCAUCUUCAAGCUUCCAUCUUCCUUCAUCAAACUAUCGAAUACAUCCUCUGAUGAUCCACCCUGCUCUUCAUAACCUUUACUCUUUAUCUUUAUUGUUUCACCUGAGACUUCUUCAUUUUAUGCCGAGUUGAUUCUUAAGCUUCUGUCAUCUCCUGUCUUAUUCACCCUCAUUUCUGCUUCCAGCUUCCACUUAAUUAUUAAGUUAUUAUUAAGUUACCGUCAGUUCCAUUUAGUUAAUAAGUUAUUUUGCUAAAAAAUAAUCACGUAUAGAAGCUAGACAUGUAUGUGUUAAAAGCAACUGAGCUCAUGGAUAAGAGUGACAAUUGACUGCUAGUCAUUUUAUUUAUUUGUGUUGCUUUGCCACAAACGAUGCAGGGAUGUUGUUCUUAUCUGAGUUCUGGGCCGCCAUCUGUUUUACCGUGAAGUGCUUCAUGUAGCAUUUGAGUUGAAGUACAAAGUGUUGUGUUAUGGCUGGGAUUUUAGUCCGAGGCUUGUAUGUAUUUUCAGAAUUUAUUCAUUUAGAAUUAUUAUUUUUCAUGGCUUUAUGUUAUUUCUGUUAGAUUUGUUUACUAUUUGUUAUUUGUAUUUUGUUUCCUUAAAUAAGCUGCAAUAUCCUGUCCUAUGUGGGUGGAGCCCAGGAGGAGGGGCCAUUCUAACAUCACUGCUGGUGGCUCCACCUUCUGUCCAGAGGCAGGAAA